rnacentral:rRNA from 1 species
UACAUGGGGGUGCAAACGUUGCUCGGAAUCAUUGGGCGUAAAGCGCGCGUAGGCGGUUGCUUAAGUCGGAUGUGAAAGCCCUCGGCUUAACUGAGGAAGUGCAUCCGAAACUGAGCAGCUAGAGUACGAAAGAGGGUCGCGGAAUUCCCGGUGUAGAGGUGAAAUUCGUAGAUAUCGGGAGGAACACCAGUGGCGAAGGCGGCUCACUGGACCGGUACUGACGCUGAAGCGCGAAAAGCGUGGGGAGCAAACGGG